CCUACGGGAGGCAGCAGUCGAGAAUCAUUCACAAUGGGGGAAACCCUGAUGGUGCGACGCCGCGUGGGGGAAUGAAGGUCUUCGGAUUGUAAACCCCUGUCAUGUGGGAGCAAAUUAAAAAGAUAGUACCACAAGAGGAAGAGACGGCUAACUCUGUGCCAGCAGCCGCGGUAAUACAGAGGUCUCAAGCGUUGUUCGGAAUCACUGGGCGUAAGGCGUGCGUAGGCUGUUUCGUAAGUCGUGUGUGAAAGGCGCGGGCUCAACCCGCGGACGGCACAUGAUACUGCGAGACUAGAGUAAUGGAGGGGGAACCGGAAUUCUCGGUGUAGCAGUGAAAUGCGUAGAUAUCGAGAGGAACACUCGUGGCGAAGGCGGGUUCCUGGACAUUAACUGACGCUGAGGCACGAAGGCCAGGGGAGCGAAAGGGAUUAGAUACCCUGAUAGUC
rnacentral:rRNA from 1 species